CAAGUCUGAUGGAGCAACGCCGCGUGAGUGAAGAAGGCUUUCGGGUCGUAAAACUCUGUUGUUGGAGAAGAAUGGUCGGCAGAGUAACUGUUGUCGGCGUGACGGUAUCCAACCAGAAAGCCACGGCUAACUACGUGCCAGCAGCCGCGGUAAUACGUAGGUGGCAAGCGUUAUCCGGAUUUAUUGGGCGUAAAGCGAGCGCAGGCGGUUUUUUAAGUCUGAUGUGAAAGCCCUCGGCUUAACCGAGGAAGCGCAUCGGAAACUGGGAAACUUGAGUGCAGAAGAGGACAGUGGAACUCCAUGUGUAGCGGUGAAAUGCGUAGAUAUAUGGAAGAACACCAGUGGCGAAGGCGGCUGUCUGGUCUGUAACUGACGCUGAGGCUCGAAAGCAUGGGUAGCGAACAGGAUUAGAUACCCUGGUAGUCCAUGCCGUAAACGAUGAAUGCUAGGUGUUGGAGGGUUUCCGCCCUUCAGUGCCGCAGCUAACGCAUUAAGCAUUCCGCCUGGGGAGUACGACCGCAAGGUUGAAACUCAAAGGAAUUGACGGGGGCCCGCACAAGCGGUGGAGCAUGUGGUUUAAUUCGAAGCAAGCGAAGAACCUACCAGGU
rnacentral:rRNA from 2 species